rnacentral:rRNA from 1 species
CAGUCGCCACGGUAAUACGUAGGGUGCGAGCGUUAAUCGGAAUUACUGGGCGUAAAGCGUGCGCAGGCGGUUAUAUAAGACAGAUGUGAAAUCCCCGGGCUCAACCUGGGACCUGCAUUUGUGACUGUAUAGCUAGAGUACGGUAGAGGGGGAUGGAAUUCCGCGUGUAGCAGUGAAAUGCGUAGAUAUGCGGAGGAACACCGAUGGCGAAGGCAAUCCCCUGGACCUGUACUGACGCUCAUGCACGAAAGCGUGGGGAGCAGACAGGAUUAGAGACCCGCGUAGUCCCUGUCUCUUAUAC